UCCAAGUUAUGCUGCAAGAGGUGGGUUCC
rnacentral:piRNA from 1 species